AGCAGGUAUGAUGAAAUUGGUAAACAUAUUAGAUUUAGAUUCUAAGUAACACUAAAACGUUAAUGAGGGUUCGAAUCCCUCUACCUGUUA
rnacentral:tRNA from 1 species